rnacentral:rRNA from 1 species
AAAUCUGGUACCUUUGGUGCCCGAGUUGUAAUUUGUAGAGUACCACUUUGGGACUAUACUUUGCCUAUGUUCCUUGGAACAGGACGUCAUGGAGGGUGAGAAUCCCGUAUGGCGAGGGUGUUAGUUCUUUGUAAAGGGUGCUCGAAGAGUCGAGUUGUUUGGGAAUGCAGCUCUAAGUGGGUGGUAAAUUCCAUCUAAAGCUAAAUACAGGCGAGAGACCGAUAGCGAACAAGUACAGUGAUGGAAAGAUGAAAAGAACUUUGAAAAGAGAGUGAAAAAGUACGUGAAAUUGUUGAAAGGGAAGGGCAUUUGAUCAGACAUGGUGUUUUGCGCCCCUCGCUCCUUGUGGGUGGGGGACUCUCGCAGCUCACUGGGCCAGCAUCAGUUUUUGCGGCAGGACAAAACCUUGGGAAUGUAGCUGUGCGCCUCGGUGUACAGUGUUAUAGCUCUUGGGAAUACUGCCAGCGGGGACUGAGGACUGCGAUACUUGUUAUCUAGGAUGCUGGCAUAAUGGUUAUAUGCCGCCCGUCUU